CCUACGGGAGGCUGCAGUGGGGAGUAUUGGACAAUGGGGGCAACCCUGAUCCAGCCAUGCCGCGUGUGUGAAGAAGGCCCUCGGGUUGUAAAGCACUUUCAGUGAGGAAGAACGCCUGGUGGUUAAUACCCAUCAGGAAAGACAUCACUCACAGAAGAAGCACCGGCUAACUCCGUGCCAGCAGCCGCGGUAAUACGGAGGGUGCGAGCGUUAAUCGGAAUUACUGGGCGUAAAGCGCGCGUAGGUGGCUUGAUAAGCCGGUUGUGAAAGCCCCGGGCUCAACCUGGGAACGGCAUCCGGAACUGUCAAGCUAGAGUGCAGGAGAGGAAGGUAGAAUUCCCGGUGUAGCGGUGAAAUGCGUAGAGAUCGGGAGGAAUACCAGUGGCGAAGGCGGCCUUCUGGACUGACACUGACACUGAGGUGCGAAAGCGUGGGUAGCAAACAGGAUUAGAUACCCUAGUAGUC
rnacentral:rRNA from 1 species